GGAGCAGUGUGGUAGCUCGUCGGGCUCAUAACCCGAAGGUCGCAGGUUCAAAUCCUGCCCCCGCC
rnacentral:tRNA from 1 species